rnacentral:lncRNA from 1 species
UUGCCUAUGUGUGAACAUGCAAGACUUGCAAAAGCUGUUGGCUCGAGUCGGCCUGGCUCAUGUCCCGUUUUCAGUCUGGCUUUACCCCGCUGUUAGAAGACACUUUCGACCACAGAAUAAAUUGUAUCUUAGCUCUCUGCAAAUAGCACAUUUCUAUGGUGGCGUCGCUAACUAUUCUAAAGGUUUGUUUUAGCUCCAUCGAAUACAAAGAGGCACUCAAUAUUAAGUGUUUUGUUCGAACACAAACGUUAAUUUAGAGCUUAAAAUACGAUAUUUAUUUUUAAUAUGCGUUGACAACAAAAACAUUUAGUUUUACUUUGCUUUGACAAAACAAAACCGAGUAAAGCAUAUGUAAAUAUUAGCCUAUUAUUUCAGACACUGCGUCUAGGUUCACAGAAAUGAAGCAAUAAUGCCAUGUGUUACGUUAAAACUAGGCCAGUAGAAUACUGAUGUCUAUAUGAAGAGGCGAGUUACCAUAUAUUUCUCAUUUGAAUGAUUAUCUUCACCAAAAAUAAAACGUUCUGCUGGGCAGGUGUCAUUUUAAUUCUCUGGUUUGGAUUGAUUAUUCAACAAAGAUUGAGAUGUGCAGGUAAACCCACUGAUACAUUUAAUACACUGUUUCUUACAGAGGAAGUGCAAACAUAUUCCAGGAUCUGAUAUAAAUUGGGAGUAGGGACACUAAGAAAAAGAAGAACCGCCUGCCUAUUACAAAUUUAAUGAGUCAUGUUUGGCAACCGACUUCACAAAAUAUGAUGAUGUAAAAUUCCAAGACGUUACACCCGUGCGAUAUGCAGAACGAAGUUACUACAGCAGCUUCACCUUUAAUGCUUCAGAAAACUGCCCGCAGAAAGACUGCAAUCAAGGAUCAUCCAGUCAAAAUGCUGAUUUUGAAACGGGUAAGUGUGCUUUUAUUUGCACAUUAAUAGUCUGCUGUGCAUUUCAUUUAAUUUGCGGUCCAUUACUACUAGUCUGUUACUGCCUGUUGUUUGAACCGAAACAUCCAGCACUGUCAAACAUUAACUGCACUCGCAUAGAUUUCAAAUUGUGAAACUACUAGCUUCGGGAAAAAAAAAAAAAAAACAUUAAACACAUUUAAAAAAAAUACUUGAAAGUGCUGGAUUAUACCACAAAAUCCAUGGUAAAACCAAUAGACAUACUAAUUGCAUUUUUAUUCUGCAGAUGAAAAAACCAACUACAUGUCAAUGGGCCUCUAUUGGCUGAGAAUUCUCUUUCUGAAGACUGUUGUGUUCAAUGUCCUGAUGACUUUCAAAGCAUGGAUGAGCUAACGUGAGUGAAAUGUUAUAUCUUGUGACAGUGGGUCUCAUUCACUAACUGCGUGUUAACACAUUUGUGUGUAAAAACUUUUUCAUACAGAAAUCAAGGUUUAUUAAUAAGUUGCAGGAUAACAUUUAGAACCAACUGAAACCACACAUACAAAAAAAAAACGAUUCCUAGCAGACUGUUUUACAGUCAUUUAACAAAAAUGGUUUGCAAAGUUGCAUAGUUUCUAAAAAUGGUCAAUCACGUGUAGUCUAGG